CCUACGGGUGGCUGCAGUCGAGAAUCAUUCACAAUGGGGGAAACCCUGAUGGUGCGACGCCGCGUGGGGGAAUGAAGGUCUUCGGAUUGUAAACCCCUGUCAUGUGGGAGCAAAUUAAAAAGAUAGUACCACAAGAGGAAGAGACGGCUAACUCUGUGCCAGCAGCCGCGGUAAUACGGGGGGUGCAAGCGUUGUCCGGAAUCAUUGGGCGUAAAGAGUUCGUAGGUGGCACGUUAAGUCUGGUGUUAAAGGCGGAAGCUCAACUUCCGUAGGGCACUGGAUACUGGCGAGCUUGAAUGCGUUAGAGGUAAAGGGACUUCCUGGUGUAGCG
rnacentral:rRNA from 1 species